GCCGGAGUAGCUCAGCUGGUCAGAGCACUGCUCUUGUAAAGCAGGGGUCAAGGGUUCGAAUCCCUUCUCCGGCU
rnacentral:tRNA from 1 species